rnacentral:rRNA from 1 species
UACGAAGGGGGCGAGCGUUGUUCGGAAUCACUGGGCGUAAAGGGCGCGUAGGCGGCCCUUCUUGUCGCGUGUGAAAGCCCCGGGCUCAACCUGGGAACGGCGCGCGAGACGGGAGGGCUGGAGUUCGGGAGAGGAGCGUGGAAUUCCCAGUGUAGAGGUGAAAUUCGUAGAUAUUCGGAAGAACACCAGUGGCGAAGGCGGCGCACUGGACCACAACUGACGCUGAGGCGCGAAAGCUAGGGGAGCAAACAGG